rnacentral:RNase_P_RNA from 1 species
CGAGCCGGCCGGGCGGCCGCGUGGGGGUGCAUGCACCUCCCCGAGGAACGUCCGGGCUCCACAGGGCAGGGUGGUGGGCAACGCCCACCCGGGGUGACCCGCGGGACAGUGCCACAGAAAACAGACCGCCCCGAAAGGGGUAAGGGUGAAACGGUGGUGUAAGAGACCACCAGCGCUCAGGGCGACCUGGGCGGCUAGGUAAACCCCACCCGGAGCAAGGUCAAGAAGGAGCGGUCGGGAGACCGCUUCGCGCGGACGAUCGAGGGCUGCCCGCCCGAUGCCCGCGGGUAGACCGCUUGAGGCCGCCGGCAACGACGGCCCUAGAUGGAUGGCCGCCUCCCCGAGGCCCGCAAGGACCCCGGGAGACAGAACCCGGCGUACAGGCCGACUCGUCCG